rnacentral:rRNA from 1 species
GACGAACGCUGGCGGCGCGCUUAACACAUGCAAGUCGAACGGAAAGGCCUGCUUUCCCUUGUGGAUUGCGGGUACUCGAGUGGCGAACGGGUGAGUAACACGUGAGUGAUCUGCCCCCAACUUGGGUAUAAGCCUGGGAAACUGGGUCUAAUUCCCGAUAGGACUGCAGGGUGGUGCCUGUGGUGGAAAACGAUUUUCUAGUGGUUGGGGAUGAGCUCGCGGCCUAUCAGCUUGUUGGUGGGGUAAUGGCCUACCAAGGCGGCGACGGGUAGCCGGCCUGAGAGGGGGGACGGCCACAUUGGGACUGAGAUACGGCCCAGACUCCUACGGGAGGCAGCAGUGGGGAAUAUUGCACAAGGGGCGGAAGCCUGAUGCAGCGACGCCGCGUGGGGGAUGACGGCCUUCGGGUGGUAAACUCCUUUCGACCGCGAGGAAGCCACCUGGUUGGAAGGGUGGUGACGGUAGUGGUAGAAGAAGCACCGGCUAACUACGUG